rnacentral:rRNA from 1 species
GAUGAGCGCUGGCGGCGUGCCUAAUACAUGCAAGUCGAGCGAACGGACGAGAAGCUUGCUUCUCUGAUGUUAGCGGCGGACGGGUGAGUAACACGUGGAUAACCUACCUAUAAGACUGGGAUAACUUCGGGAAACCGGAGCUAAUACCGGAUAAUAUUUUGAACCGCAUGGUUCAAAAGUGAAAGACGGUCUUGCUGUCACUUAUAGAUGGAUCCGCGCUGCAUUAGCUAGUUGGUAAGGUAACGGCUUACCAAGGCAACGAUGCAUAGCCGACCUGAGAGGGUGAUCGGCCACACUGGAACUGAGACACGGUCCAGACUCCUACGGGAGGCAGCAGUAGGGAAUCUUCCGCAAUGGGCGAAAGCCUGACGGAGCAACGCCGCGUGAGUUAUGAAGGUCUUCGGAUCGUAAAACUCUGUUAUUAGGGAAGAACAUAUGUGUAAGUAACUGUGCACACCUUGACGGUACCUAAUCAGAAAGCCACGGCUAACUACGUG